rnacentral:lncRNA from 1 species
GAAACCUUUCAUAACUGCUAGCAGGAGGGCCUGGAAGUACAACUCGUCCUCACCCCUGGGUUGUAGGGAAAGAAGGGAAAGUCCGACAUCAUCACCAAGGAUGUAAGAGAAAAGAUCUUCAAAAAGAAGGGAUUGGUCAGUGUGUUGAAUUUGCGGAGAAAAAAUGAGAUAAGAACAGAGAAGUGGUACUUGGAGUUAUCAGUGUGGAAGUCACUGGUGAUCUCAGAGUAUCUCAGUUGAGUGGCUAGAAAGGAAGCUUGAUUGUGGUAUGCUGAAGAAAUGGGAGUUGAAGUGGAGACAGCAACUAAAGUUGGUUGAAUCUGUAGUUGCGGAAUACAAAGAUGCAGAGGACUGACUGUCCUGUGACUCCCUCCAGCUUGCUGUGCAAUCACAGGU